GACGAACGCUGGCGGCGUGCUUAACACAUGCAAGUCGAGCGGUAAGGCCCUUUCGGGGGUACGACGAGCGGCGAACGGGUGAGUAACACGUGGGUGACCUGCCCUUAGCUCUGGGAUAAGCCUGGGAAACUAGGGUCGUAAUACCGGAUAUGACUCCAUAACGCAUGUUGUGGGGUGGAAAGCCUUGUGCGGCUAGGGAUGGGCCCGCGGCCUAUCAGCUUGUUGGUGGGGUGAUGGCCACCAAGGCGACGACGGGUAGCCGGCCUGAGAGGGCGACCGGCC
rnacentral:rRNA from 1 species